rnacentral:rRNA from 1 species
GACGAACGCUGGCGGCGUGCUUAACACAUGCAAGUCGAACGGUGAAGCGCUUGCCUUUUUGGUGGGUGUGGAUGAGUGGCGAACGGGUGAGUAACACGUGAGUAACCUGCCCUCUUCUUCUGGAUAACCUCAUGAAAGUGGGGCUAAUACGGGGUAUUCCGGGUCUGUCGCAUGGCGGGUUUGGGAAAGAUUGCGCCUUUGGGUGUUUUCGGUGGGGGAUGGGCUCGCGGCCUAUCAGCUUGUUGGUGGGGUGAUGGCCUACCAAGGCGGUGACGGGUAGCCGGCCUGAGAGGGUGGACGGCCACACUGGGACGGAGACACGGCCCAGACUCCUGCGGGAGGCAGCAGUGGGGAAUAUGGCACAAUGGGCGCAAGCCUGAUGCAGCGACGCCGCGUGAGGGAUGGAGGCCUUCGGGUUGUGAACCUCUUUCGCCAGUGAAGCAGGCCUGCUCCUGUGUGGGUGGGUUGACGGUAGCUGGAGAAGAAGCGCCGGCUAACUACGUG